CGGGGUGCAGCAGGCGCGAAAACUGUACAAUGCAGGCAACUGCGAUAGGGGGACAUCGAGUGGCAUCCACCUUGGGUGCCUGUCCAACCGUCUAAAAAACGGUUGUUAGCAAGGGCCGGGUAAGACCGGUGCCAGCCGCCGCGGUAAUACCGGCGGCUCGAGUGGUGGCCGAUAUUAUUGAGUCUAAAGGGUCCGUAGCCGGCUUUGCAAGUCCCCUGGGAAAUCCAGCGGCUUAACCGUUGGGCUUUCAUGGGAUACUACAUUGCUUGGGACUGGGAGAGGUAGGAGGUACUCGGGGGGUAGGGGUGAAAUCCUGUAAUCCUCCGGGGACCACCGGUGGCGAAGGCGUCCUACCAGAACAGGUCCGGCGGUGAGGGACGAAAGCUAGGGGCACGAACCGGAUUAGAUACCCGGGUAGUCCUAGCCGUAAACGAUGCCCGCUAGGUGUCACGACGGUCGUGAAUCGUCGUGGUGCCGUAGGGAAGCCGCGAAGCGGGCCACUUGGGAAGUACGGCCGCAAGGCUGAAACUUAAAGGAAUCGGCGGGCGAGCACAAGGGCGAUUCGCGG
rnacentral:rRNA from 1 species